rnacentral:RNase_P_RNA from 1 species
UUGAGGGGGCGACCCGUCGCUGGCGCGAAUUUAUUCGCGCUAGAGGAAAGUCUGGACUUCGCAGACAAAGGAUGCCAGUGAAAGACUGGGGGCCGCAAGGCUACGGAAAGUGCAACAGAAAGCAAACCGCAUUUUUGAAUUUUUUAAAAAUGACAGGCUGAAACGGUAGCUUUAAGAGCUACCCCUCCUCAAGAAAUUGGGGAUUGAGGCAAACCCCAUCCGAAGCAAGAGAGAAAGGACCAUUGGUUUUUGUCGACCAACCUUUCGUUAACUCGCUUGAGGGUAUUGGUGACAAUGCUCCCAGAGGAAUGACGGGUAGGGGCCCCUAAAAAGGCCUUCUACAGAAUCCGGCUUAUAGCCCCCUCAAAACU